AGUGAACGCUGGCGGCAGGCCUAACACAUGCAAGUCGAACGGCAGCACAGUAAGAGCUCGCUCUUACGGGUGGCGCGUGGCGGACGGGUGAGGAAUACAUCGGAAUCUACUUUUUCGUGGAGGAUAACGUAGGGAAACUUACGCUAAUACCGCAUACGACCUACGGGUUAAAGCAGGGGAUCUUCGGACCUUGCGCGAUUGAAUGAGCCGAUGUCGGAUUAGCUAGUUUGGGGGGUAAAGGCCUACCAAGGCGACGAUCCAUAGCUGGUCUGAGAGGAUGAUCAGCCACUGUGGAACUGAGACGCGCUCCAGAACCCGAAGUGAGGCAGCAGUGGGGAAUAUUGGACAAGGGGCGGAAGCCUGAUCCAGACAUACCGCGUGAGUGUAGAAGGCCUGCGGGUUGUAGAGCCCUUUUGUUGGGAAAGAAAAGCAGCAGGUUAAUACCCCGCUGUUUGGCCGGAACCAAAAGAGUAGGCACGGCUAAACUUGGG
rnacentral:rRNA from 1 species